AGAGUUUGAUCAUGGCUCAGGAUGAACGCUAGCGGCAGGCUUAACACAUGCAAGUCGAGGGGUAUAGGUUUUCGGACCUAGAGACCGGCGCACGGGUGCGUAACGCGUAUGCAAUCUACCUUUUACAGAGGGAUAGCCCAGAGAAAUUUGGAUUAAUCCUCUUAGUAUUAUGAAUCGGCAUCGGUUUAUAAUUAAAGUCACAACGGUAAAAGAUGAGCAUGCGUCCCAUUAGCUUGUUGGUAAGGUAACGGCUUACCAAGGCAACGAUGGGUAGGGGUCCUGAGAGGGAGAUCCCCCACACUGGUACUGAGACACGGACCAGACUCCUACGGGAGGCAGCAGUGAGGAAUAUUGGUCAAUGGGCGCAAGCCUGAACCAGCCAUGCCGCGUGCAGGAUGAAGCAUCUAUGGUGUGUAAACUGCUUUUGUACGAGAAGAAACACUCCUACGUGUAGGAGCUUGACGGUAUCGUAAGAAUAAGGACCGGCUAACUCCGUGCCAGCAGCCGCGGUAAUACGGAGGGUCCAAGCGUUAUCCGGAAUCAUUGGGUUUAAAGGGUCCGUAGGCGGUUUUGUAAGUCAGUGGUGAAAGCCCAUCGCUCAACGGUGGAACGGCCAUUGAUACUGCAAGACUUGAAUUAUUGGGAAGUAACUAGAAUAUGUAGUGUAGCGGUGAAAUGCUUAGAGAUUACAUGGAAUACCAAUUGCGAAGGCAGGUUACUACCAAUAUAUUGACGCUGAUGGACGAAAGCGUGGGGAGCGAACAGGAUUAGAUACCCUAGUAGUCC
rnacentral:rRNA from 1 species